AGAUUGAACGCUGGCGGCAUGCUUUACACAUGCAAGUCGAACGGCAGCGCGGGGCAACCUGGCGGCGAGUGGCGAACGGGUGAGUAAUAUAUCGGAACGUACCCAAGAGUGGGGGAUAACGUAGCGAAAGUUACGCUAAUACCGCAUACGAUCUAAGGAUGAAAGCAGGGGGACCGCAAGGCCUUGUGCUCCUGGAGCGGCCGAUAUCUGAUUAGCUAGUUGGUAGGGUAAAGGCUACCAAGGCUACGAUCAGUAGCUGGUCUGAGAGGACGACCAGCCACACUGGAACUGAGACACGGUCCAGACUCCUACGGGGGCAGCAGUGGGAAUUUGGACAAUGGCGCAAGCCUGAUCCAGCAAUGCCGCGU
rnacentral:rRNA from 1 species